UACCGGCGAUGGCAUUACGAGGGCUUUACGUAGUUGUGUUGCCUUACUAAUACAAUCGCCGGUAGAAGUGCUCAGACUCUGGCAGAAACUAUUAGAGGCAUUUGGUCAGGAAGAGAUCUGUAAUCUAUCAAGUAUCGCUCUCGUAUGGUGAACUUGUGUAGAGUUCUUCUUGAUCAAUGCGACCGUGUACACGGCUUGAUCCAAGCGCUACUAGAUAUAGAUCCACAGACCUCCUGACCGCCAGCCUUUCGACACAGAUGUUCGACAAAGUAGACGACCGCUCCAGACUGAACAGUAGAGUGAGGACCGCCUUGUAGGCCGACACCUGACCGCAUGAUCGGGGUACUCAGAUCGGCAUAGCAAUGAGAACGGAUUAUUAUUGCUAACGAAUGACCGGAUUGCUUGAAUAUAUCCUUUAGAGUAUGAUGUCUGCAUUAUCAUGAGUCAAUCUCGAGACAGUGUGACACCUGUAUUUAAAACUAGGGGACUGGUGUCUCACGAUAAUACUAGUUCAUCAUAAGCUCUACGACGAUGCCAAUUUCUAAUGUUAACAUUUGAUUGAUCUUUAAAAUACGUCACCUCGCUGUAUUUAUACGCCAAUUACAACCGGCACGGACGUAUA
rnacentral:sRNA from 1 species